rnacentral:rRNA from 1 species
AGUAAUCGCAUAUCAGCCAUGAUGCGGUGAAUACGUUCCCGGGCCUUGUACACACCGCCCGUCAAGCCAUGGAAGCUGGGAGUGCCUGAAGUCCGUCACCGCAAGGAGCGGCCUAGGGUAAAAUUAGUAACUAGGGCUAAGUCGUAACAAGGUAGCCGUACCGGAAGGUGCGGCUGGAACACCUCCUUU